rnacentral:lncRNA from 1 species
CAUAGCUGAGAUCUCUGGUGUAGUCCGAGGCGGCAGCGACCUGUCCACGCCACCUGAGCGUGGUGUUUGCCCCCUCGUUGGGCAAGCCCGGCAGAAAGUGGGAGCGACUGGAGGGGGCAAGGGACCCGGGGCCUCGGAGCGUGCCGUCGUGGCCGCUCCUGCCAGCCCGGGGACGGUGCGGGAAGGGGGCCCUGCCCUCCGGCCCUCGGGUUCCUGGGACCGGCCCUCCCGCCCUGCACCGGGUCACCAGGUGCCCCGCGGGAGCGCGCUGGGCUCGGGCUGUGGCCGAGACCUGGUACACGUUCGGGGAAACUGAUUACAGCUUGAAAGGCAUCCACCAACGCCUGCUGGGCCCGGUCUUCUCUGUCCGGGGCAGGGCGGCUCUGAAAAUACCAGCUAUUUGCUUGCCACUCCAGGCCGAUGACAGACGUGGAGAAAACCAGCUGCCAGCGAGCUGGAGACGCCCGUUCCCGAGGGCGCGAGGCAGCCACAGCCAAAUGCCACCACGACCCCGCCUCGGAGGGACCGCAGCCCCCUAGCCCUCGGAGAAACCCUGUUCCCGAAACCACCUGGCAGACGCUGUCCGCUUUGAGAUUACAGCAGGGAGAAGGAAACAUGCCCGUCUGGCCGGGGAGCUCAGCCACUAACCGAGACUUAGCCUCUGUCAUCCCAAUCCAGGCUGCAGCUCCAGAUAGGGGGCGUCUGCACACAGCUUCCCACACUUGGCCCCGCGGAACACAGUCCUGCUGGCCUCAGCCUGUGGGAACCCUGCUUCAUGUAAAGGUCACCUAAACUCUGCCUUCCCUCAACCCCUUCAAACUCUGCCUUUCCCUUCGUUCUUGGGAGGCGCUCCCUCAUUGCAGUGGGUCAGUACACCCGAUUUUGUGGACCACAGGUUUGCUCCUGGUGGUCUUGGGCUGAAGGGGCUGCAAAGGUUACUGAAUUUCGUGGAGGUAAAAAUUGCCCGCAGGAAAUGUCAUGAAAGUCCAGGUGCAGUAGGUUUCCUGGUGUGAUGCUUCAAAGUUAUCUUCUUACCUGGAGCCCCUUCCAGCUGCAGACUUCAGAGGUCGGAGGUUAAUCAAUCUGGAAUGACCCCACAGCCCACCCAGCUCCAGCUCGGGAUUCACUCCUGCACUAUGUCCUAGGGAUUCUGGAGCCAACAAGAUCGAACUUCGGGCACAGAUGGCAGGGCUGUGGGGUCGAGCUUGGCUGCAAGCUCCGAACACUGAUGCAAUCUCUCUGAGGGUGAUCUGGCAAUUCAGAAGUCAUAAAAAUGAUAGUGCCCUAUGACCACUUCUACCACUCUGGGGAAUUGAGUUCAAGGAAAGCUUAAGAAGACAAAAAGCAAGUUAUGCAAAUAUGUUAUCUGCUGUGGUGUGGUAAAGUUUAAUCCCCCAGCUGUGGUGCACACCUGGCAAAGAAUGGAGGCGCUGACACUUAUUGAUCAUUACUUGCAGUGUACACGUAUUAACUCCUGAUCCCUGCAAAUAGCCUGCUAUUACCCCCGCUUGACAAUGGAGAAGUUAUCUUACCCAGAUGUCAUUUCCUCUUCCUGGGAGCUGCCAUGGUCCUUCCCCUCUCCUGCAGCACUUAGUCCAAUACUGAAUCUUCAUGAUGUGACUCUUCAUAAUGCGCAUGGUUGACGCAGGAAGGAGCCCUCUCACCAUCAUGUCUCCUCACCUCCUCUGGCCGCUAAUAUUGCUGAAGUGGCUAAAUGAGUCCCAGUAUUAAUUAUCUCAGCCAUUUUCAGAGUGAUACUGAGAAGAAAUGAAAUGGAGAUAGGGAAGAAGGAAGCCGCUCCUCUCUACAGGAUGCCAAAUCAAUGCAGGAGGAGAUUCUGAGAACUACUGGACAACGGCCACAGGGGAACAGGGGAUUCAUUCCAUCUCAAAGCCUCACCCUACACAUUAUCUUUAUUAGCUAUAAAAGGGAAAAGGGAUUUGCAAUGGAGAGUUAUGGCAGACUCCAGCCUCAUGAAGUGACACAACUUAGCAUUGCCACCCAGGGGACAAACCCACACUAUGAGUCUGAUUCAGUGCACCAAGAAGGACAAACAUCACUUACUCUGCUAUAACAUAACGCAGUAUAUUAUACACUAACAUAUGUAGUAUAUUACAUUACAUAAUAACAUAGUACAGGCUUCUAGGACACAGUUUAUAGAAGUGCAGAUAAUACUUGAGGCAGUUUCCCAAACUUGCAAAUAAAAACUCUCCACAGGGCUUGUGACUAGCACAUUCCCAAAGCCCCAAACCCAGAAUUCCACCUGCUUAGUGAGCACCUCCAGAGCACUUUUUUUUUUUUUUUUUUUUGAGACGGAGUUUUGCUCUUGUUGCCCAGGCUGGAGUGCAAUGGCAGGAUCUCGGCUCACUGCAACCUCCACCUCCCAGGUUCAAGCGAUUCUCGUGCCUCAGCCUCCUGAGCAGCUGGGAUUACAGGCACCCACCUAAUUUUUGUAUUUUUAGUAGAGAUGGAGUUUCACCAUGUUGGUCAGGCUGGUCUUGAACUCCCAACCUCAGGUGAUCCACCCACCUUGGCCUCCCAAAGUGCUAGGAUUACAGGCACGAGCCACUGCGCUCGGCCAUCUCUAGGGCAUAUUUUUACUGUGCAAUGUGGGAAUCUCUGCCAUAGGGUGGGCUGCCUUUCUAACCCAGUGGCCCGGUUCUAGCAGGACUUCCCCAGUAUGUGGAUGGGGGCACAGGGACUCUUGGGGGGGCCUCAAGGCAUCUGUGAGCUAGGCCUAACCACCGCUACUGAAUGACUGCGAGAUGAGUCCCAGAGCUGGGACGAGAGUGGGCCUGGUACCCUGCCCCAGCCCUCCCCUGACAGGAGUUAGUAAGGGACAGGUUAGCAUGCUAAAGAGAUAGCAAGCUGGUCACAGCCUAGGGCCACCACCCUUCUGUCUUACAAGUCAGAAACAUGUCCUGACUUUGGGGGAGAGGGUAUAUGUUAAACGGGCCCACCCUGGGAGCUGUAGUGGUCACUGUGGAGCUGAGCACUGGGCUGCACUCCUCGCUGCCCCAGAGUGACCAGGUGGGUGGUUUCAUCCAAGAGGCAGGGCUCAGAAGGCCAGGCUGAGCCACCGAUAUGCAUGUCUGCACCCCACCACUUCCUGCUCAGUCUGUAUCAGGCCCGGGAUGAAAUCGUCACUUAGACGCUCAGGGGUCCUCCCACCCAUCUGGCCAACACAAACCUGCCAGCAUAGCACUGAGUGGAAGGUUCCAGUGCACCCACAGGCCUGGCUGUUAAAAUGUCCGGCCUCUCCAGAGGACAGGUUAAGUUCACACUGAGAAAGCCUGGCUCUCUCCAGCUAGCCUGAAUUAAAGUGAGAAGGAUGAGCACAGCACCUGUGGAAAUGGCGCUGGAAAGCAAGUGUACCUAGGAACUGCCUCUGGGCCACCGAAGUGCGCCGGCCCAGUGUUCUCAGACAACCCAGGAGGAGUCCUCCAUCUGGCCACUUCCCACCCGUUAGGCCCCGAGGGGACACCAGGUUGGUGAGACCCGGACCCCACCAGCAAAGGACCCUUCCUUCAUUCAUCACACACUGGCUCCAUCUGCACUGCACCUACUGCCAGCCAGGCACUGAGCUUCACAUCCGCACAAAACACAAAGACCUCUGAUACGGUUUGGGUCUGUGUUCCCACCUAAACCUCGUGGUGAAUUGUGAUUAUGUUGAGUUGUUUUGGAGGUAGGGCCUGGUGAGAAGUGACUCGAUGAUGGGGUGGAUUUCUCAUGAAUGGUUUAGCACCAUCUCCUUGAUGCUGUUCUUAAGAUAGUGAGUUUUCACGAAAUCUGGUUGUUUAAAAGUGUGCGCCCCACCCCUUGCUUCUGCUCUGGCCAUGUGAUCUGCCUGCCUUCCCCUUCGCCUUCCACCAUGAUUGUAAGAUUCCUGAGGCCUCCCCAGAGGCUGAGCAGAUAUCGGUACUACGCUUGCUAUACAGCCUGCAGAACUAUGAGCCAAUUAAACCUCUUUUCUUUAUAAAUUA